GUUUUAAUAGUUUAAAAUAAAACAAUGAUUUUGUAAAUCAUAAUUAGGGUAUUAACCUUUUAAAACU
rnacentral:tRNA from 1 species